rnacentral:rRNA from 1 species
UGGGAGCUUGCUCCCUGAAGUCAGCGGCGGACGGGUGAGUAACACGUGGGCAACCUGCCUGUAAGACUGGGAUAACUCCGGGAAACCGGGGCUAAUACCGGAUGAUUCUUUCCCUCACAUGAGGGAAAGCUGAAAGAUGGUUUCGGCUAUCACUUACAGAUGGGCCCGCGGCGCAUUAGCUAGUUGGUGAGGUAACGGCUCACCAAGGCGACGAUGCGUAGCCGACCUGAGAGGGUGAUCGGCCACACUGGGACUGAGACACGGCCCAGACUCCUACGGGAGGCAGCAGUAGGGAAUCUUCCGCAAUGGACGAAAGUCUGACGGAGCAACGCCGCGUGAGUGAUGAAGGUUUUCGGAUCGUAAAACUCUGUUGUUAGGGAAGAACAAGUACCGGAGUAACUGCCGGUACCUUGACGGUACCUAACCAGAAAGCCACGGCUAACUACGUGCCAGCAGCCGCGGUAAUACGUAGGUGGCAAGCGUUGUCCGGAAUUAUUGGGCGUAAAGCGCGCGCAGGCGGUUCCUUAAGUCAGAUGUGAAAGCCCCCGGCUCAACCGGGGAGGGUCAUUGGAAACUGGGUACCUUGUUUGCAGAAGAAAAGAGUGGAAUUCCACGUGUAGCGGUUAAAUGCGUAAAAAUGUGGGAGAACCCCAUUGGCGAAGGCGACUCUUUUGUUCUGUAAUGGGACGCUCAGGGCAAAACCCUGGGGGAGGCAACCCGCAUAUAUAUCCCCGGAAGUCACGCCAUAACAAAGAGUGCCCAGUGGUCACAGGGGUUUUCCGCCCCUUUAGUGCUGCAGUUAACGCUUAAGCAGUCAUCCUGUGAGUACGGCCGCAGUCAUGUAUCCUCAAAUGAAUAUGACGGGGCCCCGGCUGAGCGGGGAGCAUGUGUUUAAAUUUCAAAGCAACGCCAGAAGCCUUAUUACGUCUUGAAAAUCUCCUGAACAACCCUUGAGAUAUGGGGGUUACCCCUUCCGGUGCACGAGAUGACAUGGGCGUGCAUG